AAAAAGACAAACCCUGGGUUUCCGUGUCCAACGUUUGACUGUCCGUCUUAUAUGAAAUUUUUUUAUAAUUAGUAUUUUCAUUAUUGUUAGAUGAUAAAACAUGAUUAAUACUUUAUGCGUGACUUGUCUUUUUUAAAUUUUUUAUAAUUUUUUCAAAUAAGACAGACGGUCAAACGUUGGACACGGAAACCUAGGGUUUGUCUUUUU
rnacentral:pre_miRNA from 1 species